UACGUAGGGUGCGAGCGUUGUCCGGAAUUAUUGGGCGUAAAGGGCUCGUAGGCGGUUUGUCACGUCGGGUGUGAAAACUCGGGGCUUAACCCCGAGCCUGCUUCCGAUACGGGCAGACUAGAGGUAUGCAGGGGAGAACGGAAUUCCUGGUGUAGCGGUGAAAUGCGCAGAUAUCAGGAGGAACACCGGUGGCGAAGGCGGUUCUCUGGGCAUUACCUGACGCUGAGGAGCGAAAGUGUGGGGAGCGAACAGG
rnacentral:rRNA from 1 species